GAUGAACGCUGGCGGCGUGCCUAAUACAUGCAAGUCGAGCGAACAGACGAGGAGCUUGCUUCUCUGAUGUUAGCGGCGGACGGGUGAGUAACACGUGGAUAACCUACCUAUAAGACUGGGAUAACUUCGGGAAACCGGAGCUAAUACCGGAUAAUAUUUUGAACCGCAUGGUUCAAAAGUGAAAGACGGUUUUGCUGUCACUUAUAGAUGGAUCCGCGCCGCAUUAGCUAGUUGGUAAGGUAACGGCUUACCAAGGCAACGAUGCGUAGCCGACCUGAGAGGGUGAUCGGCCACACUGGAACUGAGACACGGUCCAGACUCCUACGGGAGGCAGCAGUAGGGAAUCUUCCGCAAUGGGCGAAAGCCUGACGGAGCAACGCCGCGUGAGUGAUGAAGGUCUUCGGAUCGUAAAACUCUGUUAUUAGGGAAGAACAAAUGUGUAAGUAACUAUGCACGUCUUGACGGUACCUAAUCAGAAAGCCACGGCUAACUACGUG
rnacentral:rRNA from 1 species